AUGCAAGUCGAGCGCAGGAAACCAGAUGACCCCUUCGGGGUGAUUCUGGUGGAAUGAGCGGCGGACGGGUGAGUAACACGUGGGCAACCUGCCUGUAAGACUGGGAUAACUUCGGGAAACCGGAGCUAAUACCGGAUAGUAUUUCCUUUCUCCUGAUUGGAAAUGGAAAGACGGUUUCGGCUGUCACUUACAGAUGGGCCCGCGGUGCAUUAGCUAGUUGGUGGGGUAAUGGCCCACCAAGGCGACGAUGCAUAGCCGACCUGAGAGGGUGAUCGGCCACACUGGGACUGAGACACGGCCCAGACUCCUACGGGAGGCAGCAGUAGGGAAUCUUCCGCAAUGGACGAAAGUCUGACGGAGCAACGCCGCGUGAGCGAUGAAGGCCUUCGGGUCGUAAAGCUCUGUUGUUAGGGAAGAACAAGUACGAGAGUAACUGCUCGUACCUUGACGGUACCUAACCAGAAAGCCCCGGCUAACUACGUGCCAGCAGCCGCGGUAAUACGUAGGGGGCAAGCGUUGUCCGGAAUUAUUGGGCGUAAAGG
rnacentral:rRNA from 1 species